GGCCUACAUGAAGCUGGAAUCGCUAGUAAUCGCGGAUCAGAAUGCCGCGGUGAAUACGUUCCCGGGUCUUGUACACACCGCCCGUCACACCAUGGGAGUCGGAAAUGCCCGAAGUCUGUGACCCAACCUCAGGGAGGGAGCAGCCGAAGGCAGGUCGGAUGACUGGGGUGAAGUCGUAACAAGGUAUC
rnacentral:rRNA from 1 species